rnacentral:miRNA from 1 species
AUGUACUGGGUUGGCCGAAAAGCUUGUUCAAGUUUUCUAUAACGUUUUAUGGAAAAACCCAAAGGAACUUUCAUGACCAACCCAAUA